rnacentral:pre_miRNA from 1 species
UGAUAAAGUCUGACUGAGUAGCACUGAUAUAUCAGCGCUACUCAGUCAGACUAUAUCAGUGCUACUCUGUCAGACAAGUCAGACUAUAUCAGUGCUACUCAGUCAGACUAUAU